rnacentral:misc_RNA from 1 species
UUUCCGUAGGUGAACCUGCGGAAGGAUCAUUACUGAGUGAGGGCUCCGGCCCGACCUCCAACCCCGUGUGAACCGAAACCUGUUGCUUCGGGGGCGACCCUGCCUUUGUACGAGGCGCCCCCGGAGGCUCAUCAAACACUGCAUCUUUGCGUCGGAGUCUUAAUGAAUUUAAACAAAACUUUUAACAACGGAUCUCUUGGUUCUGGCAUCGAUGAAGAACGCAGC